CGGGGCGCAGCAGGCGCGAAACCUCUGCAAUAGGCGAAAGCUUGACAGGGUUACUCUGAGUGAUUUCCGUUAAGGAGAUCUUUUGGCACCUCUAAAAAUGGUGCAGAAUAAGGGGUGGGCAAGUCUGGUGUCAGCCGCCGCGGUAAUACCAGCACCCCGAGUGGUCGGGACGUUUAUUGGGCCUAAAGCAUCCGUAGCCGGUUCUACAAGUCUUCCGUUAAAUCCACCUGCUUAACAGAUGGGCUGCGGAAGAUACUAUAGAGCUAGGAGGCGGGAGAGGCAAGCGGUACUCGAUGGGUAGGGGUAAAAUCCGUUGAUCCAUUGAAGGCCACCAGUGGCGAAGGCGGCUUGCCAGAACGCGCUCGACGGUGAGGGAUGAAAGCUGGGGGAGCAAACCGGAUUAGAUACCCGGGUAGUCCCAGCUGUAAACGAUGCAGACUCGGUGAUGAGUUGGCUUAUUGCUAACUCAGUGCCGCAGGGAAGCCGUUAAGUUUGCCGCCUGGGGAGUACGGUCGCAAGACUGAAACUUAAAGGAAUUGGCGGGGGAGCACCACAAGGGGUGAAGCCUGCGGUUCAAUUGGAGUCAACGCCGGAAAUCUUACCGGGGGCGACAGCAGAGUGAAGGUCAAGCUGAAGACUUUACCAGACAAGCUGAGAGGAGGUGCAUGGCCGUCGCCAGCUCGUGCCGUGAGGUGUCCUGUUAAGUCAGGUAACGAGCGAGAUCCCUGCCUCUAGUUGCUACCAUUAUUCUCAGGAGUAGUGGAGCUAAUUAGAGGGACCGCCGUCGCUGAGACGGAGGAAGGUGGGGGCUACGGCAGGUCAGUAUGCCCCGAAACCCUCGGGCCACACGCGGGCUGCAAUGGUAAGGACAAUGAGUUUCGAUUCCGAAAGGAGGAGGCAAUCUCUAAACCUUACCACAGUUAUGAUUGAGGGCUGAAACUCGCCCUCAUGAAUAUGGAAUCCCUAGUAACCGCGUGUCACUAUCGCGCGGUGAAUACGUCCUGCUCCCUUGCACACAA
rnacentral:rRNA from 1 species